UACGGAGGGUGCAAGCGUUAUCCGGAUUCAUUGGGUUUAAAGGGAGCGUAGGCGGAUUGGUAAGUCAGUGGUGAAAUCUUUGGGCUUAACCCAGAAACUGCCAUUGAUACUGCUGAUCUAGAGUACAGUUGCCGUUGGCGGAAUAUGACAUGUAGUGGUGAAAUACUUAGAUAUGUCAUAGAACACCGAUUGCGAAGGCAGCUAACGAAGCUGUAACUGACGCUGAGGCUCGAAAGUGCGGGGAUCAAACAGG
rnacentral:rRNA from 1 species